rnacentral:rRNA from 1 species
UACGUAGGGCGCAAGCGUUGUCCGGAAUUAUUGGGCGUAAAGAGCUCGUAGGCGGUUUGUCGCGUCUGCUGUGAAAACCUAAGGCUCAACCCUGGACCUGCAGUGGGUACGGGCAGACUAGAGUGCGGUAGGGGAGAUCGGAAUUCCUGGUGUAGCGGUGAAAUGCGCAGAUAUCAGGAGGAACACCGGUGGCGAAGGCGGAUCUCUGGGCCGUAACUGACGCUGAGGAGCGAAAGCAUGGGGAGCGAACAGG